GGCCACGCGACAGGCAGGCGCUGGAGGGACCCACACAGCAAGGGAGGCUGUGUGACCCCGGCAGGCAGGUCCCCUCGCCUCUCCGUCAAGGGCCUGCCUAGGGGGCUGCGAGGAGACAUGAGAAACGAGAGCAAGGAUGAGCCGUAUGUGUUACCACGUGCCUGGCACACAGAGGAGCCCCAUAAAUAUUUGUUUAAUGAGUGCAUGCUGCCCACUUUGCCUCCAGGACAUUUUCCCAAUCUGCUGUCUCACCAGCAUCACUUAAGAACUUUCAUUCCCUGAACCCUCACUGGUACUUGUAACCUUUUAUAAGUACUUUCUUUAAUCUUUUCAUAAGCUUUUCCAAUCUAAUAGCUGGAAAUUUUAUCUCAAUUUGCAUGCUUUGAAAUUGAACAUUUUUCAGAGACGUAUUGGCAAUUUUAACUUCGUUUUCUGUAAUUUCUCUCCCAUGUCCUUUGCAAAUAUUUUGUUCUGUUGAUUU
rnacentral:lncRNA from 1 species